rnacentral:rRNA from 1 species
ACUGAGACAAGGGCCCAGGCCCUACGGGGCGCAGCAGUCGCGAAAACUUUGCAAUAAGCGAAAGCUUGACAGGGCUAUCCCGAGUGCCAUCCGCUGAGGAAGGCUUUUACCCAGUCUAGAACGCUGGGGGAAUAAGGAGAGGGCAAGUCUGGUGUCAGCCGCCGCGGUAAUACCAGCUCUCCGAGUGGUGUGGAUGUUUAUUGGGCCUAAAGCAUCCGUAGCUGGCUAGGUCAGUCCCUUGUUAAAUCCACCGAAUUAAUCGUUGGAUUGCGGGGGAUACUGCUUGGCUAGGGGACGAGAGAGGCAGACGGUAUUUUCGGGGUAGGGGUGAAAUCCUAUAAUCCCGGGAAGACCACCAGUGGCGAAGGCUGUCUGCUAGAACGCGC